rnacentral:lncRNA from 1 species
UUCUUCCUCGAUACCACCGAAGACGUCUCGAGCUUUUUCCAUGGUCGACGACUCUUGCGGUGAUGAUGAUUCCAAGUGAUGAUGGCUUCUAAUCGAACCGUUCCUUCGUCAAGGUUCUUCGAUUUUCUAAUCCGCCUCGCCUUUUGAAGAUAUUUGAAUCAGCUCCUCCAUGAAUCCUCCGUCGAUGUUUCCCCCGACGCCGUCUCUUACUCCGAUCCUGGUUUAUUUUGAAAAAUAGAUCGCGACUUCUUCUUUCUCCUGAGAAAAUUAUUCUCUCAAAACCAUCGGGGAAGAGAGAAACUUCACCGGAAUUUUGACGUCCCAUUUCCCGGUAAGUCUCUUUUGAUUCUUCACCUUUGAGCUGAAAUCUUCUUACUCUUCCUGCCUUUGUACUGAUCCCUUAACUUCUCAAUUUUCUGAUCUUCUCUCAGCUUUUCAGGCAAAACUUUAUUGCCUCCUCUGCUGUGUAAAACAACCCCAUGUCUCCCUUCAGCUCCUUACUUAGCUUGUUUAAGACUUUACUUAUGUCGUUUAACUCGAUCAGUUGAGAUUCCUUGUGUGAUUGAGGUACUCGUCUCCCUUCAGCUCCUUUAUAGCUGUUUAAGACGUUCUCUCCAAUAACUUAGUUUCUUUGUUUCCGUUAGUCAUUCCGGUUUCUUUAGAGAUCUUGUUUCGGUCUUCCUCAGCUACUCCACCUUGAGCUGAAACCUCCUUGCCUUAGAACUCCUUGCCUCGCAUCUUCCUAGCAGGUAACUUCCUUGUAACCAUUGAGCUUCCUUGUUAUCGAUAAGAAGUAACUUGUUUGCUCUAACCUUAUUACUUCUUCUUGUGCGAGGUGAAUCGAUAACGAAGUUACCUGCCGUGCCAGUCUCUUAGGCUAUCUUGAGGAGUUCACAACACAGAUCAAACUUUUGCCCUGGUAAGGCUUUAGUUAGAAAAUCUGCUGGGUUCCUGCUAGUAUGGAUCUUAGAUAGAGUAACACUGCCAUCUUCGACUACAUCUCUGAUGAAAUGAUAUUUAGUGUCAAUAUGCUUUGUUCGUUCGUGAUGAACAUGAUUCUUUGCUAGGGCUAUAGCGCUUUGUGAAUCACAAUUGAUCUUGACACUUUCUUGCUCGAAUCCUAGUUCUUUGCAUAGUCUUCUUAGCCAUAAAGCUUCUUUCGCAGCCGCGGUUAGAGCCAUGUACUCAGCUUCGGUUGUCGAAAGAGCUACUACGUCUUGUAAUCCUGAUUUCCAGCUUAUAGUAUUUCCCCAAACUUGAAACACAUAUCCAGUAACUGACCUUCUUCUGUCAAGGUCUGUUGCGUAAUCAGAAUCACAAAAUCCUUCUAUGCUGAAUUUUGAAUUCUUAGUGAAUGUAAGACACCUUCCUGUAGCUCCUUUUAGGUAUCUUAGAACCCACUUAGCAGCCGCCCAGUGUUCUUUUCCAGGUUCAGACAUGAACCGACUUAUCAAUCCAACUGCAAAAUCUCUUAAUGCCCGAGUCUUUGCAGAGUUUAUCAAACUGCUGAUUGCAAAACUCACGGCCAUUAUCCGUUCGCAAGCACUUUAUUUUCUUCUUCGUCUGAUUUUCGACAGCUUCUUUCCACUCCUUGAAUUUGCUGAAGGCUUCAUCUUUUGUUUUAAGAAAAUAAAUCCAGACUUUUCGAGAGUAAUCAUCUAUGAAGCUUAUGAAGUACUUACUUCCCGAUAGACUUUCUGGAGUUGAUGGAGCUCCCCAUAAAUCUGAAUGAAUGUACUCUAGAAUUUCUUUAGUGGUAUGCUUCGCAGCAGGGAAGCUUUGUUUGUGAGAUUUUCCCAAGACACACGUCUCACAGAACUCGAGUUUGUCCACCUCCUUCUUUGGUACAUAUCCUUUUUCAACCAGAACAUUCAGAUUCUUUAAACUCAUAUGACAUAAUCUGGAGUGCCAUAUAGUCGUCUUGUCUAUCUCUGCCCUUGACACAUUUGCUUCUCCUCUAGAUACGGUCCCUUGUAGGUAGUAUAGUCCUCCAUUGAACUUCCCUGAUAUGAUCUCCUUUCCAUCCUUGUAGAAUCUGAUCAUAAAGUCUUUCCCUUCGUAUUGGCAUCCAGAUCGUUCAAGCAUCCCGUAAGAUAUCAAGUUCCGGCUCAUAGUCGGCAUGUAUCUCACAUCCUUGAGAACCACCACGGUUCCAUCGGGUCUCACAAUCCUGAUCUUGCCAAUUCCUUUUACAUCACAAUGGGUAUUGUUAGCCAUAAGAACUCUCCCUCCUUCGAAUUCUUCUAGGUCAAACAACACGUCUUUGUUUGGUGUGAUAUGGAAAGAACACCCCGAGUCCAUCACCCAUUCUUCUUUUGAGUCGUUAGUACUGACUGUGAGCACUAGUGGUUGUUUCGGUUCUGCAGCAACGUUGGCAGAUUUAUUUGACCUUCUGUCAGGACAUUCUCUCUUCCAAUGUCCCUCUUUGCCACAUAUGAAACACCCCUUAUUGUUUUUAUCGUACUUGGGUCUAGAUUUAGAUCUACCGUACCUGCUCUUAGAUCUUCCUUUCCAAUUCCUGUUUCCUCCUUUGUUUGACCGGUUUGAUUCUCUUCCUCUGUCCUCAACGUAUAGGCCCUCAUCUUGAGACUUAGAGAGUUUACCACUUUCCAAUAACUCCCUCUCCUUAGAUCGUGCCGCCCCGGUUACUUCGUUGAUCUUGAGAGUGUCUCGACCGUACUUGAGGGUCUCCUUUAGUUGAUCAUAUCGCUGAGGCAUUGAGUUUAGUAGUAGUAUAGCUUGAACUUCUUCAUCAACCUCCACGCUCAAGUUAUUUAAAUCUGCUACUAGCUUUAGGAAGUCAUCAACGUUUGCAUCAAUAGUCUUUGAAUCGUUCAUCUUGAAAGUGUAAAAUUUGUGUUGCAGGUAGAUACGAUUCGGUAAGGACGUCUCCGUGUACAGCGUGUUGAGAGCUGUCCACAUCGCAGCAGCCGUAUCACAGUUGCAAAUCUUCCUUAGGACUUGGUUUCCAACAUUCACAACAAUGAGAUCUUUUGCUUUCUCUGAUUUUCCGAGCUUAACGGGAUCAAUGGUCGGGAUGCUUUCUGCUUCUUUCUUCUCUGCGUCCUUUAAGGUAUCAUCUCCCUCUACCUUGUUGACUGGUGAAUCCGUUAGAAGCUUCUCAUCAGUUAGGAUAUCCUUUAGCCCUAGGACACCAAAGUGAGCCAUCAUCCGAACCUUCCAUAGCGAAAAAUCUCCUGUUCCAUCGAACCGAUCUAUGUCGAUCCUCUCGAUCUUUGGUUUAGUCAUUCUUGUUCAAGCACCCUUGCAAUCAAAACCUGGAUUGCUCUGAUACCACUUGUAAGGAUUUAACCUUAACUCUAUGCUUUGAACUUAGAAUGGAUUUAACUUCACCGAAACCUUUUAAUCUCUUUCUUAGAAACCCAAAGCUUAUUACAACUCUUGAAAGAUGAAAGCACAAGUCUUUUGCUCUCUAUCCCUCGUAUGCUAGUUAACCGUAUGACCCUUCUAUGAAACCCUCGUGCCUUUAUAUAUUGGUCUACAAAGUUCCUAAUUCAUAUUGUAUUAAGGAAAACUUCCUAAUCCUAUUUGUCAUUACACCAGAACUAACCGACAUCUCUUUUGUUGCAGGAUCAGGUAGUUGGGCCAGGACAAUUGAGGCCCAUUUGAUCAACAAUGAUGUAGGGUUUACUCUUGUACAUGAUAAUCAUUUAUUUAUGGCUAGCUCCGAAAAAUAUAUGGUUGAGUCACUUUGGAGAGGUCAAAUUUUAAAGUAUAUUGAUGAGUUAACGUAUAGUAUAUUUAAGUUUCAGUAAUACAUUUUUACCAAAAAAAAAAGUUUCGGUAAUACAUUAGAGCAUCUGCAUCCCUUAAGGUUUCUUAUUUUUUAUUUUUUUUAUGUUUUUUUUUCUUCUAAU